GUUCGAAUGGACUUUUAGACGAGUUAGUUAUCUGCAUGUAUUGGGCCGCAAGCUUAAAAAAAAUCUGGCCCUUUAGGUCUACCAUGUCUCAGAGAGACGAAUCUCCGUCAGUAUUGAUUCAUCUCCCCCACAGGCGUUACAAACUUCAUUGAUUCAAUGCCAUUAGCAAGUUCUUAACUCUUUAGUGAUCAAUCACUCAUUCAAUGAUUCUUAUCCAUCUUCCAAACGGUGUAUCUCCACCUAUAAAACAGUCCAGCGGCUCAGAUUUUGGGAAGCCAGAACCGUUAAAAGCUGUGGCGAGUUGAUCGGUGUCGACAUACUCUUUGUAACUAUGCCGUAUAAUCUCACCACCACUGAAAAGGCGGUGCAGCUCAUAAAAAACACUAAAGAGGCAGAUGGUUAAUGGUAUGGAAGUUGGGGAGGUUGCUACACAUAUUCAUCAUGGUUUGCUCUUGGAAGCUUGGCAGUAACUGGCAAACGUAUGAAAACUGUUUGGCUAUGCACACAGAUUGACUUCUUUCUCGAGAAGCAAAACAGCAAUAGAGGGAUACAUAGAAUUAGAAGGAGGAAGGUCGAACCUGGUGCAAACCGCUUAGGCAUUGAUAGGUCUGAUUCAAACAUGACAGGUUUGCCAUACUUAUGUAACAUAUCUCAUUUCUCUUAAAAAGGUUUGUUGUGUUUAAUUAAUAUAUUUUUAACAGGCCGAGAGAAACUCAUUGCCUCCUUCACAGCGUAGUCACUACCCUCACUUAGAUUAUCAUAAAAACAUAUGUUUUUGGUGCUGGUGAUGUGCAGGAAAUGACGGGAGUUUUCAUGAACAAUUGUUUUCUAAACUAUGUCACUUACAGGGAAAACAACAAAUGCACUUUUGAAGAAAUAACUCAGGGAAAGCAAGGAAUCGUAUUUGCAGAAACUAAUAAGAAUUUUGUUCCAAGAACUUCCUUUUUCCAAUUAUUACUGUCACACAGACAAGUGGUUACAGUUAGUCAAACAAUAACAAUCUACUUUGGUUAUGCCGUUUCCAAAUAUUGGGUUUCAUAAUAAAAUAGCAUUUAAUUGCA